UACGGAGGAUGCAAGUGUUAUCCGGAAUCACUGGGCGUAAAGCGUCUGUAGGUGGUUUAAAAAGUCUACUGUUAAAGCUUGAAGCUUAACUUCAAAAAUGCCGUAGAAACUUUUAAACUUGAGUAUGGUAGGGGUAGAGGGAAUUUCCAGUGGAGCGGUGAAAUGCGUAGAUCUUGGAAAGACCACCAAUGGCGAAGGCACUCUACUGGGCCAUGACUGACACUAAGAGACGAAAGCUAGGGGAGCAAAUGGG
rnacentral:rRNA from 1 species